rnacentral:rRNA from 1 species
AGUGAACGCUGGCGGUAGGCCUAACACAUGCAAGUCGAACGGCAGCACAGUAAGAGCUUGCUCUUACGGGUGGCGAGUGGCGGACGGGUGAGGAAUACAUCGGAAUCUACUUUUUCGUGGGGGAUAACGUAGGGAAACUUACGCUAAUACCGCAUACGACCUACGGGUGAAAGCAGGGGAUCUUCGGACCUUGCGCGAUUGAAUGAGCCGAUGUCGGAUUAGGUAGUUGGGGGGGUAAAGGCCCACCAAGGCGACGAUCCGUAGCUGUUCUGAGAGGAUGAUCAGCCACACUGGAACUGAGACACGGUCCAGACUCCUACGGGAGGCAGCAGUGGGGAAUAUUGGACAAUGGGCGCAAGCCUGAUCCAGCCAUACCGCGUGGGUGAAGAAGGCCUUCGGGUUGUAAAGCCCUUUUGUUGGGAAAGAAAAGCAGCAGGUUAAUACCCCGCUGUUCUGACGGUACCCAAAGAAUAAGCACCGGCUAACUUCGUG